UUUUUUUUUUUUUUCACAUGUGGUUACUGAAACUUCUGCUUAUUUACGUUAGUGGUCAGCUAAUGAUUUGACAGAAAUUUUCUUAAGUGCCUGGAAUGAAGAAAUCUUUCAGUAUGUGCAGAGAAGUUCCAGGUGCAUGUUGGGCUACACCUUCAACAAUCAGCCAUGCCAUUGACAGCUCAGUGGUAGCCUUCAAUUGCUGCAGGCACAGAGACUCAGUGUCAGCCAGAGGUGAAAGAUUAGGGUCUUCUCAGGUACUUACUGUAUAUGCAUGUAGUGCUGCACAUGUAUGUGGCCUUCUAGAUCCCAAGGAAUGUCAAAGCUUUUCAAGUCCUUCUAUGGACAUCUCCUUCCUCAAAUUUUUCCUUUUUUUUAGUUAGCUUCCCUGCACAACCCCCCCCCCCCACACACACACCCUGUAUUAGUGCUUUAGGUGUUUUCAGUGUUAAACAAUUGUUUUUAACAAAUGCUGAGGGGCUAGAGUUUUUUCCCAUUGAGUGAUCUCUGAGUUAGGUCCAGUAAACACAAGUCCUGAGAUGGGGCUUUUCCAGAUAUCUGCCAGUUCAAAUAAUGACAGUUCUCUGGGAGGGGGCCUUUUUAGGGAGCUCCAGUCCCAUUUUGCCUUCUCAGGGACUGCUAGAGUGCUGUUUUUCUCAGUCCCCAUGGCUGCAGGGAUGCUGGGGACUGUGAUGCUAGGGAGAGAGUGAUGGAAAUAGGGAAAAUUAAAAUCCCACAAAGCUCAGUGUUCUUAUUGAGACUCAGCCAUUUUUCAUGAUAAAAUUAUCAUUGUAAUGUUGUAAGCCUUUUGUUAAUUUCCAUAAUUUUGAAAAAGUUGAUAUUGACAAUUUUUGGUAGUACAGCUUUUAUGCUUUUAUGGAGGAGUAGAUUUUGAGAGGUUCUUACUUGGCUAUUCUGGAAGUGCUUCCCCCUCCUACUGAAUUUUACCCCUGUCUGCUACAAUGUGAUGUUACAUUUGAUUGGUUUCUUUUUUCUCUUUCCUUAAAUAUUUUGAAAAAUAAUUUAAUUUAUAUUAUAAUUAAAAUUUAUAAUUUUUAUUAUCUCUUUCAUCUCUGUUUUUUUCACCCCUUUUUACAAGUAUAUAUAUACCUGUAAAAAAAAUAUAUGUGUGUGUGUAUAUAUACACGUAUAUAUAUGUACAUACAUACAUACAGGUAUAUAUUUUUAAAAUCUCUAAAUUGAGGUAAAAUACAUAUAAAAAAUUUUGCCAUCAGUUCACCAUUUAAAAUGUGCAACUUAGUACUUUUUAGGACAUUUACGUUGUUGUGCAACGAAUCUCCACAAGUUUUCAUCUUGAAAAACUGAAAAUCUCUACCCAUUAGACAAAAACUCACCAUUUUUCCUUCCCUGUAGUUCCUGAAACCAUCGUUCUACUUUCUGUCUCUAUGAAUUUGACUACUGUAGGUAUCUCAUAUAAGAUAUAGUAUUUGUCUUUUUGUGACUGAUUUAUUUCAUUUACUAUAAGGUUCUCAGCAUUUAUCCAGGUUGUACCAUGGUUCAGAAUUUCCUUUCUAAGGCUGAAUAAUAUUCUGUUGUAUGCAUAUACUACAUUUUUUUAAUCUGUUCAUCCAUCAAUAGACAUUUGUAUUACUUCUGCCUUUUUGCUAUUGUGAAUAUGGACAUAGAUAUACACAUAUCUCUUUUAAUUCUUUUUAGUAUAUUAAUUUUUUUCUUUGCAUGGCAGUAUCUAUAGAAAUAACCAACUUGAUAGUUUUCUUAAAUAGGUUAGUACACAUAUGGAGUUUCUCAGAUUUUGCUACAUAAUACAUUCUUCAUUAGACAUAACUAAGUAUUAUUUUCUGAUUCUUCCCAGACUUAGAUGUUACCUCGCUGGUUCUUCCACUUUCAAGCUGGUAAAGUUUAAAAAUUUUUAAAUGACUUGAAGCCAUGUCAGGGGUUAGGAAAUAAAUUACAAAAUUAAAUAGAAUCCAACUUCCAAUUCCUCAUUUAUUUAUUUAUUUAUUUUUUUAAAUUUUUAUUUAUUUAUGAUAGUCACAGAGAGAGAGGCGCAGAGACAUAGGCAGAGGGAGAAGCAGGCUCCAUACACCGGGAACCUGAUGUGGGAUUCGAUCCCGGGUCUCCAGGAUCGCGCCCUGGGCCAAAGGCAGGCGCCAAACCGCUGCGCCACCCAGGGAUCCCUCAAUUCCUCAUUUAAACCUUCAGUUGCUAUGUUUUAGUAUUUUCUUUAUGUAUCUAAAUAAAAAAUAGUGUAGGAAUAAGAAUUCUUGUCAUCCUUUUGAAUAAGCAACCAACAUGGCAUUUCAUGGUCUCAAUUUUGUUGAUAAAUGAGGAGGUGUUUGGGGAAACAUAUUUAGGGAUAGAAAGUAACAGGUUGAGUUAUAUCAAUAGAUGUGGCCAUGCGUUCUUUGUACAUUUGAGGAGCACACUCAAAUCCCUGCACCAAGUAGGCAGGUAACAUAAAUCUGUGAAGCAAACUAGAUGAGGACUCUGGUAAGCUGGACCUUACAUGUGAUUCCUAAAAGGAGAACUGUUACCAGCUCCUACCAGAUUAUUGCCCCAAGAUGCCCGAUAAACUAGUUUUUCAAGAGAAAACAGAAAUUAGAAUUCUUAUGUGAAAUCUUAUUUUAAAAAAUGGGCAAAUAAUUGAAAAAUGAAAAUAAAAAAUCAUGCUGUCCAGUCAGAGAAGUUUGCAAGCUGGAUUUAUGACUAUGAUUGGAGUCCAGGAAUUCAUAAGUUCAGGGAGUAACCUGUUUGAUGGAUACCAUAUAAGUGAUAUGCCAAUGUAGUUGGAUACCAUGCUAGAAUGAUUAUGAUAAUAGCAUUUCUAGUGUUGAAGAGGGCUGUAGGGAUCAUCUAAAUGACUUUCCAUGAUAUCUGUUUAGACUUUUGGAAUCAUGCAAAAGCAAGCUAUAGGGUGACAGUGCUAGCUCCUCUUUCUUAAAAUGUAUUUGGAUCUCUUUUGUAUUCUUACUAACAAUAACGGAUCUAUAUAGAACUUUUGCAGAUCUUUCACCUAUGUGAUCUCCUACAAUCACAAAUUGUAGUGUGGAGGUUAUUCUCAUUUGGCCAAAGAAGAAACUGAGUUCCAGAGAAGUUUUGUGACUUCUUUGAGCCAUGUGAACUUGAGCCACAAGUAGUAGCGUGCUUAUGAUUUCUCUUCAGUCUGAGAUUAGUAGCAUGCUCAUGAUUUCUCUUCAGUCUGAGAUACCUUUGAGUGUUAUAUUAGGACAACAGACACAAAUGGGGACAGUCCUUGGUAGUCUUGAAUAUAGGGUCACUCAGUGAUAGUGCUGAAAGUAGGAUCUAGUCUCCUUAUUUGUAAUUGUAAACUUCUUCCAUCACAGCAAGAGGAUAAAUAAUAUGGUAACAUAAAGUUUUCCUAAGGAGAAAAUACGCAAGUGCUGAAUAGACCAGAAGGCUGUUAAACUAUCAUGCAGUAAAAGUAGGCAGAAGGCAUUUCUUGGAUAACUUUUGGUGUUUAUCAAGGAGGAGGUGACAUUUGAGACAAAGUUAUAUUUCUGUAAUUUUUAAAGUUCUUUUGACUAGUGCUUUUUAAGGCUUUCUGUUUUCUUGUAUUUAAUUUUAUUCAUACUUUUAAUCUCCAUUUUGCAGGAGGUGGGGGUGGGUGAAGUUAAGUACUGUGAGUUUUUGAGUCGACAGCCCUAUCAGUCAUGCUUUUAGUAACUACAGUUUCAUAGAAUGAAAAUACAAACAUAACCACCAUAAUAUAGAGAACUUUUACUUAGAUAUUGGAGGAUUAUAAUUUUUUAAAGAAAGGCUCAACUUGACCUUGAAAGAAGUUCUAACAAGUAUUUAUGUAAAUUUGGAAAGAAAAAGAUAACAAGUGAAGUGAAAUAUGCAAAAUUUCCAGUUAAAACAAUGAAAUAUUUCUAAAGAGGUACGUUUGCAGUGUUUUUAGAUAUGUGUAACAUUAAAGUGAAACAAAAGACUUACUGGAUGACUGUGAUAUUUAAGAUUAAAAAUUUGUUUUCCUCCAACAAAUUUUGGGGGGGGAAUAAAAUAUUCCAUCUCUCUCAAUUUCCAAAAGAUGAAAAGGUUCUGUUUAGUGCUUUCAUUUAAUACCUACUGAGGGAGGGAUGAAAUUAAUCUAGAAGCAGACUUGGAUAGGAAUCUUACUACUGACAUUUUAGCUGUACAAGGUAGGGAAGUCUUUGCUAGAGAACGUAGUUAGUUCUAGGAUUUCUUUGUAACAAUAGCUCAUAUUAGUGGUGGGUAGUUAAUUCUGGUGGAGCACUUGGAAUUAUAGGAGUGGCCCAUUCUUACACUUUCCAGCUACUUUUCCUUAGGGCAACAGGUUCUGUAGGGAUGUUGUCGGCUGCCUUAGAGGUCGACUCAGGUGACAGAUAUGCCAACAUUCUCACUGUGACAAACAAGGGUCACUGGUUUAGGACCUUCUUCAGCUAGCAGCAUCUUCUUUUUUGUUACCUAGCCCCCCAAUCGCUAAGUCAAUGCCUAUUUUAUAUUUAACUUUAGCACCCCAUUUCUGUUACCAGUUCCUAUGGUUGCUUGGGUUUGAGCUAAGCUGGUGUAAUAAACACUUCCUCAAAAUUACAGUGGCCCUAAUGAUAGAAGCUUCUUUCUGUCUGAUAUUUUCUGUUGCUAUUUCACUUAUUUUUCCCUGAAGUGGUGUUUUGGAAGAACUUCAGUUCUUCUCUCCUGUGUGUCUCCUUUACUUUCACACAGAGCACUUCACUUUAGCCACUUUCAGUUACCAAAAGUGUGGAAAUUACCCCCCACUAGGCGAUUCUCUAGCAUGCCAUCUGGUUGUCUUGCACUUUAACUCAGUUCUGACGCCGUGUCCCUGGAGACAGCAUCAGAUGCCACAGGUUGGGGGCUCAGUUCCAUACACUGCAAGUUCCAUGGCAAUUGCAGGUAGUAGGUCUCCAUGUUGUGUGCAAUGUCUGGCCAACUUGGCCACACGUUAGAGCUUCCCAUGACCUUUGGAUUAGGUUGAUUUACUAGAGCGGCUCAUAGAACUCAGGGAAACACUUAGGUUUACCAGUUUAUUGAAGGAUAUGGUAAAGGACACAGACGACCAGCAAGUUGAAGAGAUACAUAGAGCGAAGUCUGGGACAGUCCCUAGGGCAGGGGCUUCCUUCCUCGUGGUGUUGGGGCACAGCACCUCCCAGUACUAGAAUGUGUUCACCCACCUGGAAUCUCUCUGAACCCUGUGCUAUUGGGAUUUUUAUGGGGGCUUCAUGUAGGCAUGGGAGAUCAUGAACUCUACUUUCAGCCCUUCUCUCUUCUCAAGAGAAAGAAAGACAAGGCUGAAAACUCUAGGCUUCCAGUCCAUGGCUUGUUCUUUCCAGUAACUGCUCUCAUCCAGGACCACCUUCAGUCACCUUAUUAGAACAAAAGACACUUCUGUCACCUAGAAAACUGCAAAGGUUUCAGAAAGCCUGUGGCAGGAACAGGGAUCAGAGUCAACUCUGUGUUUUUUCCUGUUAUUUCACAGGCGGACAGGUGGUCUGGGGUGGAUGGGCCUUUGGGCGCUGCCUGGUUCUUGUAUUCUGUUGCCCUGCAUCCUUUAGGGUGCUGCUGUCAUCUGCAUGGUUGAAGUGGCCUCAGCUCGACAUUUGUGUUCCAGCCUGAGGAGUGAGAGAAGCACAUGACCCGGGGGGGGGGCACCCCCUCCACCCCCCCAGUCACAAGAGGGCCAGGUCAUCAGGGUUGUCCCUGAACUAGUCCCAGACUACAUGGAAACUGGAUGGAGGCGGGCAGGUGCAUCCUCUUCCUGAAAAGCCAUGUACCCGCCUAAUAUUCACUAGGAAAGAAGGGGAGGGUAGGUUCUGGGCAAUGUCCAGCAACCUGCUGCCCUAGUUACUUAAGUUUUCUGAAUUUAAGUUUCUCAUCUCUAAAAUGGUGAAUAUUGCUAUUUACCUUAGAGAAUUAUCUUGAAGAUGAAAUAAGGUAAUACAUAUAUAAACUUUAUUCAGUUUCUGGCAUAUAAAGUAUGGUCAAUAAAUAUUUGAUUUUAACCAUGAAGAGUUUUCUAAUGACAAGAGUAACUUUUUUGUUUGAAGCUUACAGAACUCUUAAGCAGUGUUUAUUUUACUUUAAGAGAAUUGUACUGUUUAAAGCAGUAAAAGGAACUAAAUACAUGGAGACAACAGAUCUUAUAGAAGGUGUAACACCUGGGGGCACCUGGGUGGCUUGGUCGGUAAGUGUCUGCCUCCAGGUCAUGGUCCCUGCGUCCUGGGAUUAAGCCUCCUGUCGGCCUCUGCUCAGCAGGGAGCCUGCUUCUCCCUCUCCCUCUGCCGCUCCCCCUGCUUGUGCUUGUUCUCUCUCUUUCUCUCUCUCUC
rnacentral:lncRNA from 1 species